rnacentral:rRNA from 1 species
CCUACGGGCGACAGCAGUGGGGAAUAUUGGGCAAUGGGCGCAAGCCUGACCCAGCAACGCCGCGUGAAGGAAGAAGGCUUUCGGGUUGUAAACUUCUUUUCUCAGGGACGAAGAAAGUGACGGUACCUGAGGAAUAAGCCACGGCUAACUACGUGCCAGCAGCCGCGGUAAUACGUAGGUGGCAAGCGUUAUCCGGAUUGAUUGGGUGUAAAGGGCGUGUAGGGCGGAGCGAAAGUCAGAUGUGAAAACUCAGGGCUCAACCCUGAGCCUGCAUUUGAAACGGUGUUUCUUGAGUGCUGGAGAGGCAAUCGGAAUUCCGUGUGUAGCGGUGAAAUGCGUAGAUAUUAGGAGGAACACCAGUGGCGAAGGCGGCCUACUGGACGGUGACUGACGCUGAGGCUCGAAAGCGUGGGGAGCAAACAGGAUUAGAUACCCGAGUAGUC